GUUUUAGUGGCGCAGUGCUUAUACGUAAGGCUUGAGACCAAAGGUCCCGGGUUCGAAUCCUGGCUAGGGCA